rnacentral:rRNA from 1 species
GCCCGGUACCGCAAACCGACACAGGUAGAUAGGAAGAAGAUUCUAAGGCCAGCGGGAGAAGGGUUGUUAAGGAACUCGGCAAGUUGACCCCGUAACUUCGGGAGAAGGGGUGCUUACGAAGGUAAGCCGCAGAGAAUAGGCCCAAGCGACUGUUUAGCAAAAACACAGCUCUAUGCUAAAUCGAAAGAUGACGUAUAUGGGGUGACACCUGCCCAGUGCUGGAAGGUUAAGAGGAGAUGUGAGAGCAUUGAAUUGAAGCCCCAGUAAACGGCGGCCGUAACAAUAACGGUCCUAAGGUAGCGAAAUUCCUUGUCAGGUAAGUUCUGACCCGCACGAAUGGUGUAACGAUUUGGGCACUGUCUCAACAACCUACCCGGCGAAAUUGUAGUAUCGGUGAAGAUGCCGGUUACCCGCGACUAGACGGAAAGACCCCAUGGAGCUUCACUGUAGCUUAAUAUUGAAUUUUGGUAUUUCAUGUACAGGAUAGGUGGGAGACUGGGAAAUACAGGCGUCAGCUUGUAUGGAGUCACUGUUGGGAUACCACUCUUGAGGUGCUGAAAUUCUAACCUGCGUCUUUGAAUCAAGACGGGGGACAUUGUUAGGUGGGCAGUUUGACUGGGGCGGUCGCCUCCAAAAGAGUAACGGAGGCGCUCAAAGGUUCGCUCAGCAUGGACGGAAACCAUGCCAAAGAGUGCAAACGCAAAAGCGAGCCUAACUGCGAGACUGACGGGUCGAGCAGUAACGAAAGUUGGAGUUAGUGAUCCGGCGGUAUGUGAGUGGAAAUGCCGUCGCUCAACGGAUAAAAGCUACCCUGGGGAUAACAGGCUGAUCUCCCCCAAGAGUCCACAUCGACGGGGAGGUUUGGCACCUCGAUGUCGGCUCAUCGCAUCCUGGGGCUGAAUUCGGUCCCAAGGGUUUGGCUGUUCGCCAAUUAAAGCGGUACGCGAGCUGGGUUCAGAACGUCGUGAGACAGUUCGGUCCCUAUCUGUCGUGGGCGUAGGAUAUUUGAAAGGAGCUGUCCCUAGUACGAGAGGACCGGGAUGGACGCACCUCUGGUGAACCAGUUGUCACGCCAGUGGCACGGCUGGGCAGCUAAGUGCGGAACGGAUAAACGCUGAAAGCAUCUAAGCGUGAAGCCGAUCUUAAGAUAAGAUAUCCGUUCUUCGGAAUAAGACCCCUUGUAGACUACGAGGUUGAUAGGCUUAAAGUGUAAGCAUGGUGACAUGUUUAGCUUGCAAGUACUAAUCGGUCGAUUGCUUUU